CCGCGCCCCCCGGCCUCCCAGCGCCUCGCCUCCCAUCGGGGCCACACGCGGGCGCGCACUCACGCCCACCCUCCUGCCCGGUGCGAGAAGAUGGCCGUUUCUGCCUCAUAUAAAAGCUCUUUGUUGCGGUCACACAAAAGCGGCCAAGCCCCACUUUUCCAGUAGGCCCUUUGGACAAAUCGAAGGAACUCAGCUGAACUUCCAAAUGGCCCUAAACGCCAGAUCGGUGGGAGCAGCUAAAACAGAGAGGGAAGAGCAGGCCUCCCGCGCCCAUCUACCAAAACCUCUGGCAAUAUCCAAGUAUUCAUCCAGGAGCGGGAGCUGAGACCAUUCCUAAGGGAAGAAGGAAAAGGAAAACCCACUUUUACUAUCAAGGCCCAAAGGGGAUAUUAAAUAUUCACAUUGUUGUAGGGUUUCUCCCCUUAAUCAGGGUAGAAACAUAAUGCGGAAAAGUCUGGAUCCACCAAAAAGAAAAAGAAAAAAGAAAGAAAAAUACCAACAAUAGCAACUUAAAAACAAAAACAUAACAAACCAGUUGCCAUCAGCCCAAAGUGGUAGUAGUAGCAGCAGCCGGCGCGUGUGAUCCACUUACUUGUCCGACUCUUGUGACAUGUUUGAUCCAAUGAACUUGCUCCGCUUUUCCUGGAGCCUCAGCCUCUGGUGAAACUGGACUUUCAAGUCUGUGCAGGUGAAGGUGUGUGAGAGCGCCCGAGAUGGCAGAACAAGAGCUACAGGUAAUUCUGCUUUUCCGUCCCCCCUCACCACUCUCGCUCGCUCGCCCGCUCGCGCCCUCACCUAGCCGGAAAGGUGGGAUAAGGGGGGGCCCCUCACAUGGGGCCCGAGCUCGGAGGCGGCCGGGCGGCGCGGAGUCCUCCUGGAUCGUGGCAAUGGGCAGACACAGAGCAGAAAGUGGCGGACUUGGGCGGCCACAGGUAACUUUCUCGCAAGGAGCUGAAUUCUUUCACUAAAGGGUACAAGCCCGAGGGACGAGCUGCGCGAUGAUUGGCUGGGGAGCUCCCUCAGGUGAGCUGCCAUUGGCAGAGGCGCGCUCAGGUAAGGCCCUUCUCCGAGUGCAGGUAACUCACUCCGAAGUUUACCCGAGUGGAGCGGCGGCAUGCUUGCAGCUCGGCGGCAGCCUGUGAGAGCUGAGGGUCAGUUCUUCGAGUAGAUCUCAAGCUGCGUUUUCCUCCUUCUCCAAAGCAGGGAUGGGAAGGUGGAGGCUACUGGUUGAAGAGAAGAAAGGGGUUGGGGGAAUGCAACACCUGCAAACACUAGGGAUUGUGGGUCGAGCGGAAGAGCUAAUGAGAGCCGAGCUCAGGUAUCCCAAGUCAACCAGAAUCAAAUGCGCAGUACGCCACAAGGCAUUUAAUGCCCACAGUAACAGGGCUGUUUGACAGUGGCAGAAGAGGACGGGACUAAAGUUACUUUGUGCUGAGAGGGGGAAAGAAGCACAAAGUUUGGUCUGUUGCGUAAUUGAAUUUUUAACACUCUUAUCCACAACAAACACUUUUUCGUGUCCUGCUGUGUAAAAGACAUCAGAUAUAUUACAGAUUUUCAAACAGGUGAGCAUCCUUUUACGAGCUGGGCAGGUGGGGAGUGGCGUGGUUUUGAUGGAGUGAGGAGAUUUGGUUGAAUGAACGCUAAGAUGGCCAGACGCACCUCUUCGAUCUCAACUCUGCAGCCUGGGAUUCCAGAGCUGCAAACAACCACUGAAUUCGUUCUGUAAACCUGUUGUCAUUUGACGUUUCCAGGCAGGCAUCAACAUUUACAUUGUAAUUCAAUAGACGCUACUACUACAAAGGAGCUUUAUUCUUCCAGCUUAAUAUGGUUGCUGCGGGAACACUGCAGGAUGAAACUGACUUUUUUUGUGGUAAUGUUUCUCCUGGUUGGGAACAACGCAAAUUAGCAAAGGCGUAAUUUAUAACCGCUGCUACCAAAGAGUGAAGUAUUUGUGGAAGUUCUGACUGGAAUCUAGCUCGUACAUAUGGAUUGUGGAAAUAAAGGAGGACGUGGAAAGCUUGCCAUAUUUUAUUUCAAGUUAAUACUAAAGCUGCCAGACUUAAUACAACUUUCUUUUAAUCUUUAUGGAUCACAUAUUUUCUGAAAAUUACAUGAUAAAACAAGGUUUGGUUUGUUCCAUGUGUCCAUUUUCAACAAUAAAUUUCAAAAUUGUAUUUUUAAAAAACAAUAUAAACACACACUUUAAAGAAAUAAUAUAUUUUAAGACAAUGCAGGUACUAUUUUAAUAUAAUAUUUUAAGAUAAUGCAAUACCUAUCAUGUUCCUCUCCUUUUUAGAGGCAGCCAUAUUCUGCUUUUAUCUGUCUCUUCUGUCAUUUACCUCCCUAUUUCUAAAUAAUUUGUACUGCCAUCUCUUGAUUUGCCAAUAGAUGUUGUGCUCUGACUACCUGUUGCUUCAGAUUAGGAUUUAGCUCUUUCAUGCCAAGCAACUUCUCCUUCCAACACAGCACUUUCACAGUUUAGGAGCUAAGUAAGUGACUAUGCCAAUAGCAAUGACAACACAGCCAAUAGUGUACUAUUCUUGUUUUCUUCCUUAUAAAACCUUGUAUCUAUUUACUUAGUUUGUUAUGCCCCAUCCUGAUAUUUUUCUACAACUGAUCUAUCAAAUGACUAUCAUGUUUAUUUUCCAAAUGAUCAAACAAUCAAUUCCAAUUUUGCCCUGAAAAC
rnacentral:lncRNA from 1 species